GACGUAGGGAGCCAGCGUUGCUCGGAAUUACUGGGUGUAAAGGGUUCGUAGGCGGUGUGGCAAGUCGGGAGUGAAAUCUCUGGGCUCAACCCAGAGUCUGCUUCCGAAACUGCUGUGCUUGAGUGUGGGAGAGGCGCGUGGAAUUGCAGGUGUAGCGGUGAAAUGCGUAGAUAUCUGCAGGAACACCAGUGGCGAAGGCGGCUGUCUGGUCCGGUUCUGACGCUGAGGCGCGAAAGCGUGGGGAGCAAACAGG
rnacentral:rRNA from 1 species